CGCCCGCAGUGUUGUUAGCCUGAGUUUUAAACCGGGUUUAUUAGAUUUACACUGAGAUCGGACUGUCUGGAAAGCGCACUCCUCAGAAACCACAGAUGGAGCCAUGAGGCCACGCCCCUUCUCCACUGCUGCUGCCACUCACAGCCGCGUCCAGCCUGGAAACACCAUGAACUGUAACUCCGCCCUCCGGCAGCUAUGACUCCGUCAUCCUCCCGUCCAGAAAACGACCGGACUGCAGAGCAUCACCUGCUUCCCCACCAGCCUCAGGACCCUCGUCCCCACCAGCCUCAGGACCCUCGUCCCCACCAGCCUCAGGACCCUCGUCCCCACCAGCCUCAGGACCCUCAUCCCCAGCGCCAGCACUGAGGCCAUCCAGCUGAUCAGAGACCUGCUGCAGUGGGACCCCGAGAAACCACCAGCCGCCCGCCAGGU
rnacentral:lncRNA from 1 species